ACCGACAUCAGCGAUUCGUUCUGCGAACCGGCACCCACCGCCAGAUAGGCGUUCAUCCCCAGCUCUUUCAUCUGCUGUUCGCCGAUGACGCGGGUAGUCACAUUUUUGCUGAAGGCAUCGGCCAGCUGACGCGCCUGCGAGGCAAGGUAGGCAGCGUUACAGAUGUUUGGCGGCAUAUUGCCGAGAUCUUUCGC
rnacentral:antisense_RNA from 1 species